GGGCCUUAGCUCAGCUGGGAGAGCACCUGCUUUGCAAGCAGGGGGUCGUCGGUUCGAUCCCGACAGGCUCCACCA
rnacentral:tRNA from 3 species